AAUUACUGUCCAGUGCCAUGAAAAUUGCUUGAAGAACAAGUUAGCAGCAUCAUAGCAACCGCCUGCUUAUGGGUUCUUUGUGUCCCUCUCAGAGCCAACCAAAGCAGCCCCCAGGCUUCCAUACAACAUGAUAUGGAGGAAAUUUCGGCAAAGCAUCAAAAAAGCCUGCCUGCAUAGUGCACCUGGCACAUCUUUGAAGCCCUGAAAGGAAGUCUCUGUGUUCUGGUAUCACUUGAGCCUCCACAAAGGAGAUGAAAAGGAGGAAUAAAACAUCUGAACAGCCCUAUCUGGCCUGAGCUGCACACAUGCAUUACAGCAAAGAUGGAUUUCUUCUGGAUCCUCCUGUGUAUCCUCCUCCUUGGGGAUGGCAGCGAGCAUUUCAACACUCCAAUUACAGGAUGUUCAUGUUAAACAGAGAAGAGGGACAGCCAGUUGGUGACAAACAUUUAGGAUAUGGCAUCAGAAGAUCUGCACAACCUGCAGAAGGACCAACUGCAGUGAUCAUCACAGCCCCGCUCCCCACAAGUCUUUGCCGUACAUCAGCUCCUAGCAGGCAGCCUCACCAGGGCUUAAAUCCCCCCAGCUGCUGCAAAAUGGGACCAGAGGCCCCAGCUUAGCUGCAUAUCAGCCCCGAGUCCUGUGGCAUGGGGCUGCACCAGGAGCACUGCUCAUGCUGACCUUUGGAGUCUGCUUGAAAGCAUCUGAUGCUCAUGGCUGAGAGACGGCACAGUCCUUUCCAACUUCCUGGAGUUUUUGCCUUUGUUUUCUUCCCCACUCAAAUGGAAAUGAAAAUGCAGGCUAAGAAAAAUGGCAUUAAUAAUACAAACUGGGAGCCCUUGGGAGAAAAUUUCAGUUUUGGAAAGUCGCUACACUACAUGGAUGUGUCUUGCUUUCAGAAGUUUACCUGGAUUUUUUUGACUCUUCAUGCAUGCAUGUAUUUGUCUGCUGCCAUGCAUGGUCCUUUCUCCUUAUUUAAUUAGGGUACGAUCAUAAGCAUAUUCUUAAAUUAGAAGAAAUAUAUAAAGAUUCAUCCAUUCAGCAGGCAUUUUUUCUGGGAAAAUACAUGUUCUCCUUCAGGUAAAAGAAUGCCGUGGCAUGAAAACCUGUCCUGAAUGCACCGCCUGCUUGACAGAUAUAUACAAAGACUUGAAACCUGAGAGGAAAAGCGGAUGGUUGCAAGCAAAAAAAAAAAAAAUAAUCUAAACAAAAGAAUGGAAUUAAAGCCAGCACCAGGGCACGUAUUAAUACCAUGCUGCUGUCAUUGCCCGCACUGAUUUCUAGGAGCGAUGCAGAGCAUUGUACUCAGCAGGAUAAGACUGACAGACCUCGAAUAUGAACCCCCACUGCCUUCUAAAGAGGAUUUCCCAUGGCCAGUAACUUUUGCUCGGGAGCUCAUCCCAGAAGAGGCAGGCACAAGGCAAGGACCCGGCAUCCUGUGGCAGGCACCAGUGGGGCACUGCUGGGCUCUGCAGCUCCAUUUUCCCCCCAGCCCAGGUGAUAUUAAGCUGCUCCCAGUGGGGCUGGAAAGUCUGAAGAUGUCUGAGGAAUGGAAUAAUGGUAAACAAUGAGAUUGCUGGUGAUAAAGCAAUUCUGGAAAAUGUUUGGAUGAAUUUUCUUCAGAAGAUCCACUUUCCUGUCACCCCUGCCUCUCUGUGCUCUGCUGAUGUUACCCUCUGUAACAAAGAGGUCACCAGAAGGAAGAUGUGCAGGAGGGAGGACUGCUAGGUGGAUAUUCCUAAACAUCCAGCAUACCGCCAACAUGCUGCAUUAGUUCUGGGCCUGAGCAGAGUUAGACAAAAUAGCUUGAAAAAUGGAAGGUAUUUCUUUGUGGAGGAGUCUCAGACCUAGCACAGAUGUCAUGAAUAGUUGAAAUUAUGUCUGAAUUUGAGAAGAAAAAAAACAACUUCCUCUGAGGUGUGUCUUGCAACUGCAAAUGAGGCAUAACUUGAAUAAUCUUAUCAACUAUGAUAAGCUGCUAUUAGCAUUUGAGUUACAUUUCCCUCGAGAAGUCAGGAGGGGCUGCGGCCCCAGAUUAGGGAUCCCUCCUGACAUGUAAAUAGGUAGCACAUAUGGAAAUGGAGUUGUCCCGAGUGUCACCACCUCGAGGUGAAUGAUAGCUAGAGGUGGAAGAGUGGAGAAUAAAUGUUACUGCAAGAAAAGCUGCUGAAUUUCCUUUUGAGAGACUGAUAAUCCCGCAGGCUUCUACAGAAGCAGCUUUUGAUUAUCAUUGCUGAUGAUAUUAGAAGACAUCUCUGGAGUCUGUCCUUUAAAAAAUGUUUCCCUGGUGCUACUUGAAAACAUAUGGGUUGGGAACUGAAGUGAAAAACUGAUGUUUUGCUAACUCUCUUGGCACGAUGGAGGCUUAAAAAUGAUGUGCCUGAUACCAGAGAUGCAUUUUUAACAGUAAAUGAAAGCAGACUGGAUAAAAAUUCAAAAUACUAAAUGCAGAUGAAAGAGGGGCUGGUUAAAGGACCGGAUGAGAAAAGGUAGAUCAGUUCAGCUGGGCUGAACAGCAGAGCUAUUUGAGUUGCUUCGACACACUGAAGGUGCAGACACACACCUGCAACUUACAGAGGGAGCUGAGUAAUCCAGGUCUAACAGUGCAUGUCCAAAUGCACCACUUUGCCAAGGGCUUCAUCAAGUAACAAGAUGGAGAAGCUCAGGCUGCUGCUCGUAUGGUAACAGCUUGGAUGGGUAAGGAACAGAAAGAUGGAGCCAGGCUUCUUCAGUCUAGAAUCUAAUCCAUGCCAGACAGUGGUCUGUAGAUGGCUGCGGUAUCUAACAUAGGCACAGCACCUGGAGGGAAGUUCAUGCCCCCCAAUGGCUCUUAUCCAUAAAAUUAAACCUAUUUCCAGACAACAUACGUUAAUCCUCAGAAGAUAUUGUGUACUGGAAUAAGUGUGUUUUAUACUGGAGCUGGAUGAGGUUAGUUUUGCUGAUUCAAUAGAAUCAGAGAAUCAUUAAGGUUGGAAGAGACCUCCAAGAUCAUCCAGUACAACUGCCCACCUGCCACCACUAUUCCCCCAUUAAACCAUGUCCCUAAAUACCACAUGUACAUGUUUCCUGAGCACCUCCAGGGACUGUAACUUCACCACCUCCUGGGCAACCUGUUCCAGCACCUGACCACUUUUUUUGGAGAAGAAAUUUUUCCUAACCUGAAAAGGUUGGAUAGGUUAUAAGGACCAACCAACCAAACACAAAAAAACAUUAUGCUGAUGCCACUAUAAUGUCUUCACUGUGAAAAAAGCUGGCCAUCAACAAGGGAAAAGCUAGAUAGGCUUCAUCCCAUCAGCUCCACCAACUGUUAAAAAAUGAAUCUGUUGAAGUUGCUGCAGAAAAACUUCUGAAAAGAAGAUACUUUGAAAAAGUGCUGAAUCUGCAGAAUCAUUGCAUCUCUUGGCUGGUCAUGCAUUUUCUGAGCCUCUGCCAAUAAUUGCAGUUUCUGAAAACUUCUGAAAGCAAACAAGCAUUCCCUUCCACGGCUUUCUGUUCCACCACUUUGCCUCUUUUGGGUCCAUUAGUCAGUACAUGCAUACCCCCACAGUCAGGUGACCAGCAGAUUGGUGCUACAAAACUGCUUUGCCUUCCAGAAUGUCAGGUGAUGAAAUUUAGGAGGCUUGGGUGUAUUCAUAAGAUCAAAUAGCCAACUGCUGACGAGGUAGGUAUCCUGUGCCAGCAUGGGAAGACUCACCACCUACUUAAUUUCUGUAACCAGGUCUGAUAUUUCCCCAGGAAAUGUUUAAUAAAGAUGCCAAAACAUUUUAUUAUACCUGAAUGCCCCUUAAUAAAGAUGCAUUUUUGGUAUAUGGUGGUUACAGUGCCUGCUGAAGCAAUAAAGUUCUGUGGCAUCCUGAAGAAAUGGUAGAUCCUAAAGACAGCCUUUGCUCUUAGCCACAACUAAUUAGCAGUAUCUAUUUCUGAGUUUUACCCGGCCCUGUUUUAACAAUCUCUAACUAGGAGCUUAACCUCUGUUCCAAAAACUGACGUGGGUAAAAUGCACUUAACAUUGCUCACAAUUCUUACAACAGACAGAACAGGUUUUGCAUUUGGCUACACAGAGAAGUUCUAUUUCAGUGAUUUUAGGUGCUAGGAUUUCUCCAGUUGUGACUCAAGCCAUGACUUCCCAUUAAAAGAAGCCUUUAUGCUUCUUCGUCCAGGAGACAGGUCACGUUCUAAGACAAUUCAAACUAUUUUAUUCUAUGUCUAAAUUGAACAAUAAAAACUGUUAUCCUUUAUGACCAGCAACCAAUUAACUGACCUGGUGAUAGGGAAUUAAGUCAAUCUUCUUCCUUUGAAACAACAGCUGAAAUAGCAGCGGUACAGUUCUUUGUCUCCUGUUUGAGAGCAGGAGAGGAGGAAGGAUUGGAACAGGAUCACCGACAGACAGAAAUCUUGCCCUUGUUGCAACACCAAAAUGCUUCCCAUUAACUUCUGGAUGCUGAGAUCUCCCCAUCAUGUCACGCUUUCUAGGAAGCCUUCAUAAAAUCAGGAUAAAUGACAGCGGAGUGUGAGGAGUGCUCCCCAGCCCAAUGAAGGAAGAAAAUGGAAUGAAUGUGCAUUAAAUAUGGAAAAAAAUUGAAUGUUUGGAGUAAGGAUAAAUGGGCUGUGCUUCCACAGCUCACUUUUCCAGGCACAAUGCUCUCAUGGCUGCCAUAUGUGACAUGCUUUGUUGGAUCCUUCAGGACAACUCAGUCUCAGCUAGAAGAGAUUGCACCGAGCAACUUAGUUGGUGAUGCUUAGAAUCCAUUCUGUGCUGCUUCGUGGACAGCCCUAAACCCUGCAUACAUGGUUGGUGCAGAACUGGGAGGUCACAAAACCAGCUACCAGAGACAUACCUGAGGCAACAAAGAAAUGAAUUCAUGUCUGGCUACUGAGGGAAAAGUGCCAGUUAUUUGUGUAGUUAUGUACAACUGCUGUCCAGAAGUACUGCAAAGUGUCAAAUGUAAAUGCAGGGUGCAGAGAAGAUGUUGGUCCUACUGGCAGGGUCCUUUACAGCGCUCCCAAGUGCCAAUAUCUAAGAACCAAGCUGGACUGGACACCAGGGCAAUGCCAAAGAGUGUUCACAGAUGGGCACAGCACAGGCAAAUGAAUGCUAAAGAAAAUCUGGUGGAUGAUGUGACUCUUCUUAACAAAGGAACUAUUGUUUGUUUUGCCCAAUCCUGCCCCCUGGAGCUUUCAUCUGAGCCUUGGGAAAGCAAGCUGCCAUGUCCAGCACCGCUCCUGGCUGCUCUCUCCUUGCUGUCCCUCCCUGGUUCCCUCAGUGCAUUCUCCAACACUUGAAAAUUCACCCGACUCGUGACUCACAUCUUAAUCUUAUCCAAGUCACAAUGUUUAUUUCACAGGAUGCCCAAUUAAACAGUAAUUCAGCCUGCUCUGGAGUUGUUUCCUUCCCAUAUGGUGAUUGGUAUAACCUGAAUAAUGUCGGAAGCACAGAAGAAAAGGCAGAAAAGAACUUCAGUGAUAUUGGGAGAGCAAGCUACAACUUCUCCCACUGAAGAAGAGUGGAAAAGAGCAUGCACAGAAGUGUUAACAUGGGUCAUCAUUUCUGAUGCUCCCUGACUCCUAAGAAGAGGAGGGAAGGAUUUCAGACUGGGUAUCAGGAAAAACUUCUUCCUUUAAAAGAGUGGUCAGGAGAACAGGCUGCCCAGGGA